GUCGUCGUGGCGGAAUUGGUAUACGCGCCGGUUUUAGAAACCGGUCCUUCGGGUUGGGGGUUCGAGUCCCUCCGGCGACA
rnacentral:tRNA from 1 species